ACAGAUCGUGUGGAUGUACCGUCAGCUUCAGAUGUUUCCAAAGCACCAAAAAUGUCUACAAAACACAAGAAUAACAUGGACACUCCAAAGCAUAGUAAAAAAGUAAAAGG